rnacentral:rRNA from 1 species
UACGUAGGUGACCAGCGUUGUCCGGAUUUACUGGGCGUAAAGAGCGCGCAGGCGGUCGUUCAAGUCGAGUGUGAAAGCCCCCGGCUCAACUGGGGAGGGUCACUCGAUACUGAUCGACUUGAAGGCAGGAGAGGGAAGCGGAAUUCCCGGUGUAGUGGUGAAAUGCGUAGAUAUCGGGAGGAACACCAGUGGCGAAGGCGGCUUCCUGGCCUGUUCU